GACAGAGGAUGCAAGCGUUAUCCGGAAUGAUUUGGGCGUAAAGCGUCUGUAGGUGGCUUUUUUAAGUCUGCCGUCAAAUCCCCAGGGCUUAACCCUGGACAGGCGGUGGAAACUACCAAGCUGGAGUACGGUAGGGGGGCAGAGGGAAUUUUCCGGUGGAGCGGUGAAAUGCGUAGAGAUCAGGAAGAACAUCGGUGGCGAAGGCGCUCUGCUGGACCUAACUGACACUCAGGGACGAAAAGCUAGGGGAGCGAAUGGG
rnacentral:rRNA from 1 species